AGAAUCAAGACAGUUAAGAGAACAAACAACCAAAGCAACUACAACAAAUAAAGAAAGAUCAACAAGGGGCACUACCGAGGUACCGCCUCAUAGUCCCAAAUCAUAAAAAUAAUUCAUAACCUUUCCUUAUAUUACCGGGGGAGCCUUUACAUUUAGUUUUUAAAAUCAUUUUCCCGAAAUAGCAACCCGCGUUUAGCCCUCCUUAUCACAUAGCAUGGCUUCUAGUAGUCCCUCUACUAGUUACGCAUAUCAAGCCCACCUUAUCUCACCGCAUACGUUUCAACACCUAGACCUUAUAUCACCGCAUGCAUAUCAAUAUCACAACGUAUCACAAUUCGCACCUCAGGUGCCUGAAUAUCACAACUUGCCAGAAAACCAAACAAUAACAAAUUUCACAAUAAGGAGCCCACAUCUCAACCACAAUGUGCACAAGUCUCAAAAAUAACAACCUCAGAGUAACUCAAUAAAAUGAGGUCUCACAACUUGCACUUUGCCUCAAUAGGAACCACGACCUUUGCAACUCAAUACCAAAUUCAACAACAUAAUAUUCCAAGAAUAACAAUUUCAAGUAAGAAUUCAACAGUUAAAUAAUGAAUAGGGAAUAAAAGAAAGACAGUAAUUCAACAAAACAUAUAGGCCAAAUUAUAAAUAAGAGAUAAGACAAGUAGGCAUGUGAAAUUAAGCUAGUUAUGAGGACUACAACAUGUUAAAGUAACUCAAUUAAGGCAUGAAAGAAAACUACAUAGCUAAAAAUCGGAAAUUUUACAUUUAGCCCGUGUAUACACCCGUCACCUUGCGUACACAGCUUUCACAUAUCACAAUUAUCAUAACAAUACCAAACCCUAAGGGGAGUUUCCCCCACACAAGCUUAGACAAGUCGCUUACCUCAAACCACGCUAAAUCAAUCAACUAGAAGGCCUUUCCCUCGAUUCUCCAACUCCGAACGGCUCGAAUCUAGCAAAACAAUUUCAUACUAUAAAUAUAACUAUAGAAAACUAAUUUAAACAAUGAAAUUACGAUCUUUGCAAAGAAUUGAAAAAUCGACUCAAAAAGACACCCCGGGCCCGCGUCUCAGAACCCGACCAAAAUUACAAAAAUCGAAUUUGAUAUCGAGUCCAACCAUACAAGAAUUAUCCAAAUUCGGCCUCAUUUUUCCUUUUAAAACCCAAAAACAUAGUCUAAGAAGUUCUACCACUUUUACUCAAUUUUUCCAUCUCCAAUCCUUAAUUACAUGAUAAUAACAAUGAUAGAUUAGUUUAAUUUAACCAAAAUCGAGUUAAGAAUUAUUACCCCAACAAUUCCUCUGAAAAUCCCUUGAAAUUUCGUCUCCCACCGAGCUCCCAAAAUUGUCACGACCAAAAUUCCACCACAGGCAUCGUGAUGGCACUUAGUCUCUAAGACUAAGUAAGCCGAUUUUAAUUACAAUUCAAGCCAUUUAAAAAAAAAAAAACCUAAUAGCGAAAAUAAUUACAAAUAUAACAACCUCCCAAAACUGGUAGUACUGAGUCACGAACUCUAACUGAAUACAUGAAAUGAUCUCAAGGAUCGAAUACUCAAUACUGUUUGAAUAAUAAAUAACAGUACAAUAAAAUAGAAAUAUUCCAAGGAACUGCGACGACCAAACAGCUCUACUUUGAAUCCUUGCGAUCCCACUCUAACUUUGUCCGAGUCCUAUAUCUCCAAUACCUGGCUCUGCACAAGAAUA
rnacentral:lncRNA from 1 species